UAGGGAAUCUUCCGCAAUGGGCGAAAGCCUGACGGAGCAACGCCGCGUGAGUGAUGAAGGUCUUCGGAUCGUAAAACUCUGUUAUUAGGGAAGAACAAAUGUGUAAGUAACUAUGCACGUCUUGACGGUACCUAAUCAGAAAGCCACGGCUAACUACGUGCCAGCAGCCGCGGUAAUACGUAGGUGGCAAGCGUUAUCCGGAAUUAUUGGGCGUAAAGCGCGCGUAGGCGGUUUUUUAAGUCUGAUGUGAAAGCCCACGGCUCAACCGUGGAGGGUCAUUUGAAACUGGAACACUUGAGUGCAGAAGAGGAAAGUGGAAUUCCAUGUGUAGCGGUGAAAUGCGCAGAGAUAUGGAGUAAAACCAGUGGCGAAGGCGACUUUCUGGUCUGUAACUGACGCUGAUGUGCGAAAGCGUGGGGAUCAAACACG
rnacentral:rRNA from 1 species